rfam:Felis catus isolate Cinnamon breed Abyssinian chromosome C2, whole genome shotgun sequence.
GCCUGGGUGGCUCAGUCAGAUAAGCAUCUGACUUCAGCUCAGGUCAUCAUCUCAUGGUCCAUGGGUUCAAGCUCCAUAUCAGGCU